rnacentral:rRNA from 1 species
GACGAACGCUGGCGGCGUGCCUAAUACAUGCAAGUAGAACGCAGUUGCGAACGGGUGAGUAACGCGUAGGUAACUGCCUCAUAGCGGGGGAUAACUAUUGGAAACGAUAGCUAAUACCGCAUACUGUGAGAUGGACCUGCGUUGUAUUAGCUAGUUGGUGAGGUAAAGGCUCACCAAGGCGACGAUACAUAGCCGACCUGAGGGGGAGGACGGCCAAACUGGGACUGGGAAACGGCCCCGAAUCCUACGGGAGGGCGCAGUAGGGAAUCUUUGGCAAUUGACGGAAGUCUGACCGAGCAACGCCGCGUGAGUGAAGAAGGGUUUCGGAUCGGUAAGCUCUGUUGUUAGAGGAGCGGUACCUAACCAGAAAGGGACGGCUAACUACGUGCCAGCAGCCGCGGUAAUUC